UACUACGCGUUUCAGCAUUCUGCCCUGUGCAGGGGGAGUCUGCAGGACGGAGACCGAAACAGCCUGGAAGCAGCCUGGAAGCAGACUAACACCUGCAGCAUCACACUCAGCAGGGACACUCCUCCUGGGUCUGCUGGAGGGGGGUUAAAACCAGAACCAGGAGUCAUUUAAACCAACAUACAGAUUUGAAAUAGGAGGGGAAAAGCAUCAAAAUGCGACAUUGUGUGUUGCUUUGUCUCACAAUGGAGCUCAUCUUAUACUCCAGUAGAUUUGUGAGGAAUAUGUUAUAUAGGCCUUUUUGCUUCCAGUGCCUUCAAAGAGAGGUUUUGACUCCAGCCAGCAAACAAUGGCCCUUAAAGGAGGAGGAGGAGGAGGAGGGUGCUGCGCCUUCUUCAGCCUAUCCUCUUGCUAUUUUACAUUUUCCAGCGCAUGUUUCAUUGGACCCAUCGCUGGCUUUUUUUUUUUUUAGUCAACGGAGGCUCCUGCUUCCACCUUCAAAGUGGGAGAUUCUCCACCUGACGUCAAUAGUGACUGACGCAGCCCCCAGGAGGAGAAGAGAGUCUGUUGUGUUCUUCCAUUUAUUUCUAAAUUAAAUGUAAAAGCAGGACGCGUAAAAACAUCAUAUCACAUGAGCUUUGUGUGAGCACAUUUUUUUUUUUUUUUUUUUUAUUAUUAUUUGAUAGGGGGUCGGGGGGGCGGCUGUGCUCGCGCGCGUAAAUGUUUGCGCGUAAAAGGGAUGGUGGUGAUGGUGAUGGAGGUGAUGGUGGGUUUAGCCAAAUUCUGCACACUUCCGUGAUUCCGUGCAGUUUUUUCCACAGCAUCAUUAUUAGGGAGAUGCUCUGACGUGCGUGCACGCGCAUCCAUCGUGCAGAGAGAGAGCGAGAUGGUCGCGGGAGCGCGCUACGGCUCUCCAAACGCUGCACGCUCGAAAUUCCUCCAAGGAACCUCUGCGAGCUUUUUCUUUUUUUUCAUCACGCGCGGGCUAAAAAUAGAAACGGGGUUGGAUCGUGAUCCAGAAAUAGAUAGGGGGCAUCACUCCUAUAAAAGGCUCACCAUUCAAGAGUACAGUGUGUGCACGGGUUGGAAGAAGCGGAAAGAAGACACAGCAGCUUUUUAUAUUGGAGAAACGGGCGCUUUUUUAUGCUACUUUUCCUGUUUUUGUUUUUUUUUUGUGAAAGGAGGCUCCGCUUGCUCCAACGGUUGUCUACGUCACAUAAACUACGCUGGGAGACGGCAGCAGUGACCAAACCACAGUGAGGUCAGCAGGUCGAAACCACAGAGUGAGUGGGAAAUCUGUAAAAGAGAAAUAGACAAUAGUUUUUCAUCAUAUGCAAAAACAAGUGCUGAUAUCAUGCUCAUGCAGCAUGGGUGUGCAUUCAUUACGUCUUGUGUGUCACCCAAGAUUUUGUUUGUAGUCUUUUUCUUCUUCUUCUUCUUCUUCUUCUUCUUCUUCUUCUUCUUCUUCUUCUUCUUCUUCUUUUUGAUCACCACAUAUUACAAGAAUGGAAAUUAAUUUUGUCCACACAACUUUUCCUUUUAUUAUCUGAAAUAAAAAAGGGCGUCUACUUAUUAUUGCAAGCUAAUGAAUGAGCUCAAAUCACAAUAAUCACCAGCCAGGAAAUACAUUUGUUCCUAUUCAGGCUCGGCACUAACACAAGAAGAAAAUGUUACAA